ensembl:lncRNA
AUUUCCUGUUGUAAAAUGUGCACUCUUAUGAUUUUAAAUGUUGAUAUAGUGCUAGGUUAUGCAUUUACUUCUUUCUGAAAAGAAAUAAACAUCUUCAGAUGCUACCUUAACCAGGGCUGCAUGUCAAAGCCCAUUAUAUGUCAUUCUGUGAUAUGAGGGUAAGUUUGUGGGUUUUUAUGCCAGAUCUAGUUUACAUUCCUGCAAGACUUUUGUGGAUAUUUAUUUUGCAGUACUUCCAUACAUGUCUGUGUACUUUCUGGUCAUGUAUCGUGUAAUGCAUGACUACUUAGCUCUCAACUAUAAUUUUUUGAUAUUUAACAUUUGUUUUUGUUGAUUUUUCAUCCAUAUUUUUUAUACAGUCUAUACUGAGUGUUAUUUAAUGAACAAUGAAUAAUGUUGUAAAGUUUGUUUUUACUUCAAAUUUUCAUUUCAAUUCUAAUGCUGAUAAUUUUUUUAACUUUAACUUUUCUCUCAAAUUUUAAUGCUAAUACUAUAUAUUCUAAUAAACAAAAAUAUUUAAUAGAAACAUUCAAAACAUAAGCUUUUUCGCUAGUGAUUUCAGACUGUACCCCGCACUGUAUAGACAGUAAAAUGCAUUUUUCUUUUUGUCAGAACUGUGCCAGUUCCAGGCCUUCCAGUUCAGUGGGCAGUUCUCGGCCGGGCAGCUCUCCACUACCAGGUGUUUUGGACGGGCAAACAGUCACUACCAGCCACUCCAGCAGUUCAUUGACCCACAGCGACAGCAUCACCCAGAAUUUUGACAAAACAAGGCAUCUGUCCCUCCCCUGUGUCCACGACAACCUAAAUGAAGACUUGCGAUGCCCUGACAGUGGUGUCCACCUCUCUGGACAGGAGAACUUAAGAAAACCUAAAGACAGAUUUCCAAACGAAUGCAGUCUGAACGUACCGAUGGAGGCCGAACGGAUGUCCCACUAUUCACCUCCUCAGCAGAACAGCCACAUGUGUGCUCACUGA